rnacentral:lncRNA from 1 species
CGCGGAAGGGUUGUAGGACAUGAAAAUGAUAUGGCACUGGACUUAUGGGAUGAACACAAGAACACUCGAAACUAAGGGUAGAUGUGAACCUAACGGUAUACCUGAAGCUUUGAUUACCACUUGAUGAGAACAAGGGUGGCCCGAUCUUCUGAAAGGUUCUCGUAACUCUCGAUUUGGUGAAGACGAGACACAAAUCUAUGUGGCUUCCGAACAACACGAUCCGAAACCCCGCAUUUUUUUAUUUUUUUAAUAUUUUUCAUUUACUUAGGAGCACUAAAGAAGUAACCACAGAAAAUUUGAGCUUAAUCAAGUAAAAGACGUGGCCUGCGGAAUUUUGUGAAGAUUACAAAAAAUGUGAAAAAAACUUCACAAGGUGAAAACUCAAACUUCGAAGACGAAUUUGGAGAUUCUAAAAUUUUCAAACCCCCUAAAACUGAGGACAGACAGACACUAAAUUUUUUUUUGAUCGAUUUUGAUAUAUGGAACAUUGAAAUCGGAGUUUGUAUGUGAAAGUUAUGGCUGUUUUACGAACGGACUCCGAAUUUGAGGACAAAACGGUCCGAAAGUGGGAAAAAGUUGCGUCGAUGGCUAGAAAUUGAUGGAAACGGUGGGAAAAAACACAAACUGGACUCUAACAAGACCUAACCAGCAACAAGACCUCGUCCAGGACACAAACUCAAAACUGCGGACUCGGAAACUGAAAUAUGCAAAGGCUAUGGCGCGGAAGGGUUGUAGGACACAAAAAUGAUAUGGCACUGGACUUAUGGGACAAACACAAGAACACUCGAAACUAAGGUUAGAUGUGAACCUAACGGUAUACCUGAACCUUUGAUUACCACUUGAUGAGAACAAGGGUGGCCCGAUCUUCCGAAAGGUUCUGUUAACUCUCGAUUUGGUGGAGACGAGACACAAAUCGAUCCGGCUUCCGAACAACACGAUCCGAAACCCUGCAAUUUUUUUUAUUUUUUUGAUAUUUUUCUUUUACUUAGGUGCACUAAAGAAGUAACCACAGAAAAUUUGAGCUUAAAUAAGUGAAAGACGUGGCCUGCGAAAUUUUCUAAAUUUUGUGAAAAAAGUUUAAAAAACUUCACGAGGUGAAAACUUAAACUUCGGAGGCGUAUUUGGAAAUUCUAAAAUUUUCAAACCCGCUAGUGGUAGGGACAGGCAGACCCAAAAUUUUUUUCUGAUUGAUUUUGAUAUAUGGAACAUUGAAAUCGGAGUUCGUACGCGAAUGUUAUGGCUAUUUUACGAACGGACUCUGAAUUAGAGAACAAAACGGUCCGAAAGUGGGAAAAAUUUGUGGCGAUGGCUAGAAAUUGAUGGAAACGGUGGGGAAAAACAUACUAACUGGACUCUAACAAGACCUAACCAGCAACAACCUCGACCAGGACACAAACUCAAAACUGCGGACUCUGAAUCUGAAAUAUGCAAAAGCUAUGGCGCGGAAGGGUUGUAGAACAGGAAAACAAUAUGGCACUGGACUUAUGGGACGAACACAAGAACACUCGAAACUAAGGGUAGAUGUGAACCUAACGGUAUACCUAAAGCUUUGAUUACCACUUGAUGAGAACAAGGGUGGCCCGAUCUUCCGAAAAGUUUUGGUAACUCUCGAUUUGGUGGAGACGAGACACAAAUCGAUACAGCUUCUGAAUAACACGAUCCGAAACCCUGCAUUUUUUUAUUUUUUUGAUAUUUUUAUUUUACUUAGGAGUGCUAAAGGAGUAACCACAGAAAAUUUGAGCUUAAGCAAGUGACAGACAUGGCCUGUGGAAUUUUCUGAAGAUUGUGAAAAAUGUGAAAAAACUUCACGUAUUGGAAACUCAAACUUCGGAGGCGAAUUUCAGGAUUCUAAAAUUGUCAAACCUGCGAAAGUUAGGGACAAACAGAUUUGAAAUUUUUUCUGAUUUAUUUUGAUAUAUGAAACGUUGAAAUCGGAGUUCGUAUGCGAAGGUUAUGGCUGUUUUACGAACAUACUUCGAAUUAGAGGACAAAACGGUUCGAAAAUGGGAAAAUUUUGCGGCGGUGGCAAGAAAUUGAUGGAAACGGUGGGGAAAAGAUAUGAACUGGACUCUAACAAGACCUAACCAGCAACAAAACCUCGACCAGGACACAAACUCAACACUGCAGACUCUGAAACUGAAAUAUGCAAAGGCUAUGGCGCGGAAGGGUUGUAGGACAGGAAAACGAUAUGGCACUGGACUUAUGGGACGAACACAAGAACACUCAAUACUAAGGUUAGAUGUGAACCUAACAGUAUACCUGAAGCUUUGAUUACAACUUGAUGAGAACAAGGGUGGCCCGAUCUUCUGAAAGGUUCUCAUAACUCUCGAUUUGGUGAAGACGAGACACAAAUCGAUCUGGCUUCCAAACAACACAAUCCGAAACCCCGCAUUUUUUUAUUUUUUUAAUAUUUUCCUUUUACUUAGGAGCACUAAAGAAGUAACCACAUAAAAUUUGAGCUUAAUCAAGUAAAAGACGUGGCCUGCGGAAUUUUGUGAAGAUUACAAAAAAUGUGAAAAAAACUUCACAAGGUGAAAACUCAAACUUCGAAGACGAAUUUGGAGAUUCUAAAAUUUUCAAACCCCCCAAAACCGAGGACAGACAGACACUAAAUUUUUUUCUGCUCGAUUUUGAUAUAUGGAACAUUGAAAUCGGAGUUUGUAUGUGAAAGUUAUGGCUGUUUUACGAACGGACUCCGAAUUAGAGGACAAAACGGUCCGAAAGUGGGAAAAAGGUUCGGCGAUGGCUAGAAAUUUAUGGAAACGGUGGGAAAAAAAAUACAAACUGGACUCUAACAAGACCUAACCAGCAACAAGACCUCGACCAGGACACAAACUCAAAAUUGCGGACUCAGAAACUGAAAUAUGCAAAGGCUAUGGCGCGAGAGGGUUGUAGGACACAAAAAUGAUAUGGCACUGGACUUAUGGGACAAACAUAAGAACACUCGAAACUAAGGGUAGAUGUGAACCUAACGGUAUACCUGAAGCUUUGAUUACCACUUCAUGAGAACAAGGGUGGCCCGAUCUUCCCAAAGGUUCUGUUAACUCUCGAUUUGGUGGAGACGAGACACAAAUCGAUCCGGCUUCCGAACAACACGAUCCGAAACCCUGCAAUUUUUUUUUAUUUUUUUGAUAUUUUUCUUUUACUUAGGUGCAUUAAAGAAGUAACCACAGAAAAUAUGAGCUUAAACAAGUGAAAGACGUGGCCUGCGGAAUUUUCUAAAUUUUGUGAAAAUGUGAAAAAAACUUCACGAGGUGAAAACUUAAACUUCGGAGGCGUAUUUGGAAAUUCUAAAAUUUUCAAACCCGCUAGUGGUAGGGACAGGUAGAGCCGAAAUUUUUUUCUGAUUGAUUUUGAUAUAUGGAACGUUGAAAUCGGAGUUUGUACGCGAAUGUUAUGGCUAUUUUACGAACGGACUCCGAAUUAGAGAACAAAACGGUCCGAAAGUGGGAAAAAUUUGCGGCGAUGGCUAGAAAUUGAUGAAAACGGUGGGGAAAAACAUACUAACUGAACUCUAACAAGACCUAACCAGCAACAACCUCGAUCAGGACACAAACUCAAAACUGCGGACUCUCAAUCUAAAAUAUGUAAAAGCUAUGGCGCGGAAGGGUUGUAGAACAGGAAAACAAUAUGGCACUGGACUUAUGGGACGAACACAAGAACACUAGAAACUAAGAGUAGAUGUGAACCUAGCGGUAUACCUAAAGCUUUGAUUACCACUUGAUGAGAACAAGGGUGGCCCGAUCUUACGAAAAGUUAUGUUAACUCUCGAUUUGGUGGAGACGAGACACAAAUCGAUACAGCUUCUGAACAACACGAUCCGAAACCCUAUAUUUUUUUUAUUUUUUUGAUAUUUUUAUUUUACUUAGGAGUGCUAAAGGAGUAACCACAGAAAAUUUGAGCUUAAGCAAGUGAAAGACAUGGCCUGUGGAAUUUUCUGAAGAUUGUGAAAAAUGUGAAAAAACUUCACGUAUUGGAAACUCAAACUUCGAAGGCGAAUUUUAGGAUUCUAAAAGUGUCAAACCCGCGAAACUUAGGGACAACCAGAUCUGAAAUUUUUUUCUGAUCGAUUUUGAUAUAUGAAACAUUGAAAUCGGAGUUCGUAUGCGAAAGUUAUGGCUGUUUUACGAACAGACUUCGAAUUAGAGGACAAAACGGUCCGAAAGUGGAAAAAUUUUGCGCCGGUGGCCAGAAAUUGAUGGAAACGGUGCGGAAAACACAUGAACUGGACUCUAACAAGACCUAACCAGCAACAAGACCUCGACUAGGACACAAACUCAACACUGCGGACUCUGAAACUGAAAUAUGCAAAGGCAAUGGCGCGGAAGGGUUGUAGGAAAGGAAAACUAUAUAGCACUGGACUUAUGGAACGAACACAAGAACACUCAAAACUAAGGCUAGAUGUGAACCUAAUGGUAUAUAUGAAGCUUUGAUUACCAUUUGAUGAGAACAAGGGUGGCACGAUCUUCUGAAAGGUUCUAGUAACUCUCGAUUUGGUGAAGACGAGACACAAAUCGAUAUGGCUUCCGAACAACACGAUCCGAAACCCCGCAUUUUUUUUAUUUUUUUAAUAUUUUCCUUUUACUUAGGAGCACUAAAGAAGUAACCACAGAAAAUUUGAACUUAAUCGAGUAAAAGACGUGGGCUGCGGAAUUUUGUGAAGAUUACACAAAAUGUGAAAAAAACUUCACAAGGUGAAAACUCAAACUUCGAAGACGAAUUUGGAGAUUCUAAAAUUUUCAAACCCCCUAAAACCGAGGACAGACAGACACUAUAUUUUUUCUGAUCGAUUUUGAUAUAUGGAACAUUGAAAUCGAAGUUUGUAUGUGAAAGUUAUGGCUGUUUUACGAACGGACUCCGAAUUAGAGGACAAAACGGUCCGAAAGUGGGAAAAUUUUGCGGCGGUGGCAAGAAAUUGAUGGAAACGGUGGGGAAAACACAUGAACUGGACUCUAACAAGACCUAACCAGCAACAAGACCUCGACCAGAACACAAACUCAACACUGCGGACUCUGAAACUGAAAUAUGCAAAGGUUAUGGCGCGGAAGGGUUGUAGGACAGGAAAACGAUAUGGCACUGGACUUAUGGGACGAACACAAGAACACUCAAAACUAAGGGUAGAUGUGAACCUAACGGUAUACCUGAAGCUUUGAUUACCACUUGAUAAGAACAAGGAUGGUCCGAUCUUCUGAAAGGUUCUGGUAACUCUUGAUUUGGUGGAGACGAGACAUAAAUUGAUCCGGCUUCCGAACAACACGAUCCGAAACCCUGCAAAUUUUUUAUUUUUUUGAUAUUUUUCUAUUACUUAGGUGCACUAAAGAAGUAACCAUAGAAAAUUUGAGCUUAAACAAGUGAAAGACGUGGCCUGCAGAAUUUUGUGAAGAUUACAAAAAAUGUGAAAAAAACUUCACAAGGUGAAAACUCAAAAUUCGAAGACGAAUUUGGAGAUUCUAAAAUUUUCAAACCCCCUAAAACCGAGGACAGACAGACACUAUAUUUUUUCUCAUCGAUUUUGAUAUAUGGAACAUUGAAAUCGAAGUUUGUAUGUGAAAGUUAUGGCUGUUUUACGAACGGACUCCGAAUUAGAGGACAAAACGGUCCGGAAGUGGGAAUAAUUUGUGGUGGUGGCUAGAAAUUGAUGGAAAUGGUGGGCAAAAACAUACCAACUAGACUCUAACAAGACCUAACCAGCAACAUCCUCGACCAGGACACAAACUUAAAAUUGCGGACUCUGAAACUGAAAUAUGCAAAGGCUAUUGCGCGGAAGGGUUGUAGGACAAGAAAACGAUAUGGCACUGGACUUAUGGGACGAAUACAAGAACACUCGAAACUAAGGGUAGAUGUGAACCUAACGGUAUACCUGAAGCUUUAUUACCACUUGAUGAAAUCAAGGGUGGCCCGAUCUUUCGACAGGUUCUGGUAACUCUCGAUUUGGUGGAGACGAGACAUAAAUCAAUGCGGCUUCCAAACAACGCGAUCUGAAACCCUGCAAUUUUUUUAUUUUAUUGAUAUUUUUAUUUUACUUAGGAGCAUUAAAGAAGUAACCAUAGAAAAUUUGAGCUUAAACAAGUAAAUGACGUGGCCUGCUGAAUUUUCUGAAGAUUGCGAAAAAUGUGAAAAAAACUUCACAAGGUGAAAACUCAAACUUCGGAGGUGAAUUUGGAGAAUCUAAAACUUUCAAAGCCGCAAAUAGCAGUGACAGACAGAUCCGAAUUUUUUUGAUCGAUUUUGAUAUAUCGAACAUUGAAAUCGGAGUUUGUAUGUGCAAGUUAUGGCUGUUUUACGAACGGACUCCGAAUUAGAGGACAAAACGGUCCGAAAGUGGGAAAAACUUGCAGCGAUGGCUAGAAACUGAUGGAAACGUUGGGGAAAAAACACGAACUGAACUCUAACAAGACCUAACCAGCAACAAGACCUCGACCAGGACACAAACUCAAAACUGCAGACUCGGAAACUGAAAUAUGCAAAGGCUAUGGCGCGGAAGGGUUGUAGGACACAAAAACGAUAUGGCACUGGACUUAUGGGACGAACACAAGAACACUCGAAACUAAGGGUAGAUGUGAACCUAAAUAUAUACCUGAAGCUUUGAUUACUACUUGAUGAGAACAAGGGUGGCCCGAUCUUCCGAAAGGUUCUGUUAACUCUCGAUUUAGUGGAGACGAGACACAAAUCGAUCCGGCUUCCGAACAACACGAAGGCAAACCCUGCAAUUUUUUUAUUUUUUUAUGUUUUUCUUUUACUUAGGUGCACUAAAGAAGUAACCACAGAAAAUUUGAGCUUAAACAAGUGAAAGACGUGGCUUGCAGAAUUUUCUAUAGAUUGUGAAAAAUGUGAAAAAAACUUCACGAGGUGAAAACUUAAACUUCGGAGGUGUAUUUGGAAGUUCUAAAUUUUUCAAACCCGCUUGUGGUAGGGACAGGCAAACCCGAAAUUUUUUCUGAUUGAUUUUGAUAUAUGGAACGUUGAAAUCGGAGUUCGUACGCGAAUGUUAUGGCUAUUUUACAAACGAACUGCGAAUUAGAGUACAAAACGGUCCGAAAGUGGGAAAAAUUUGCGGCGGUGCCCAGAAAUUGAUGGAAACGGUGGGGAAAAACAUACUAACUGGACUCUAACAAGACCUAACCAGCAACAACCUCGACCAGGACACAAACUCAAAACAACGGACUCUGAAUCUGAAAUAUGGAAAAGCUAUGGCGCGGAAGGGUUGUAGAACAGGAAAACAAUAUGGCACUGGACUCAUGGGACGAACAUAAGAACACAAGAAACUAAGGGUAGAUGUGAACCUAACGGUACACCUAAAGCUUUGAUUACCACUUGAUGAGAACAAGGGUGGCCCGAUCUUCCGAAAGGUUUUGGUAACUCUCGAUUUGGUGGAGAUGAGACACAAAUCGAUACGGCUUAUGAACAACACGAUCCGAAACCCUACAUUUUUUUUAUUUUUUUGAUAUUUUUAUUUUACUUAGGAGCACUAAAGGAGUAACCACAGAAAAUUUGAGCUUAAACAAGUGAAAGACAUGGCCUGUUGAAUUUCUCAAGAUUGUGAAAAAUGUGAAAAGAACUUCACGUAUUGGAAACUCAAACUUCGGAGGCGAAUUUCAAGAUUCUAAAAUUGUCAAACACGCAAAAGUGAGGGACAAACAUAUCUCAAAUUUUUUCUUAUCGAUUUUGAUAUAUGGAACGUUGAAAUCGGAGUUCGUAUGCGAAAGUUAUGGCUGUUUUACGAACAGACUCCGAAUUAGAGGACAAAACGAUCCGAAAGUGGGAAUAAUUCGCGGUGGUGGCUAGAAAUUGAUGGAAAUGGUGGGGAAAAACAUACGAACUAGACUCUAACAAGACCUAACCAGCAACAUCCUCGACCAAGACACAAACUCAAAAUUGCGGACUCUGAAACUGAAAUAUGCAAAGGCUAUUGCGCGGAAGGGUUGUAGAACAAGAAAACGAUAUGGCACUGGACUUAUGGGACGAAUACAAGAACACUCGAAACUAAGUGUAGAUGUGAACCUAACGGUAUACCUGAAGCUUUAUUACCACUUGAUGAGAUCAAGGGUGGCCCGAUCUUUCGACAGGUUCUGGUAACUCUCGAUUUGGUGGAGACGAGACACAAAUCAAUGCGGCUUCCAAACAACGCGAUCUGAAACCCUGCAAUUUUUUUAUUUUAUUGAUAUUUUUAUUUUACUUAGGAGCAUUAAAGAAGUAACCAUAAAAAAUUUGAGCUUAAACAAGUAAAAGACGUUUCCUGCAGAAUUUUCUGAAGAUCGCAAAAAAUGUGAAAAAAACAUCACAAGGUGAAAACUGAAACUUCGGAGGUGAAUUUGGAGAUUCUAAAACUUUCAAACCCGUAAAUAGCAGUAACAGACAGAUCCGAAUUUUUUUGAUCGAUUUUGAUAUAUGGAACAUUAAAAUCGGAGUUUGUAUGUGCAAGUUAUAGCUGUUUUACGAACGGACUCUGAAUCAGAGGACAAAACGGUCCGAAAGUGGGAAAAAGUUGCAGCGAUGGCUAGAAAUUGAUGGAAACGUUCGGAAAAAAACACGAACUAGACUCUAACAAGACCUAACCAGCAACAAGUCCUCGACCAGGACACAAACUCAAAACUGCAGACUCGGAAACUGAUAUAAAAAGGCUAUGGCGCGGAAGGGUUGUAGGACACAAAAACGAUAUGGCACUGGACUUAUGGGACGAACACAAGAACACUCGAAACUAAGGGUAGAUGUGAACCUAACGGUAUACCUGAAGCUUCGAUUACCACUUGAUGAGAACAAGGGUGGCCGGAUCUUCUGAAAGGUUCUGUUAACUCUCGAUUUGGUGGAGACGAGACACAAAUCGAUCCGGCUUCCGAACAACACGAAGGCAAACCCUGCAAUUUUUUUUAUUUUUUUGAUAUUUUUCUUUUACUUAGGUGCACUAAAGAAGUAACCACAGAAAAUUUGAGCUUAAUCAAGUGAAAGACGUGGCCUGCAGAAUUUUGUAAAGAUUGUGAAAAAUGUGAAAAAAAACUUCACAAGGUGAUAACUUAAACUUCGGAGGUGUAUUUGGAAAUUUUAAAAUUUUCAAUCCCGCUAGUGGUAGGGACAGGCAAACCCGAAAUUUUUUCUGAUUGAUUUUGAUAUAUGGAACAUUGAAAUCGGAGUUCGUACGCGAAUGUUAUGGCUAUUUUACGAACAGACUCCGAAUUAGAGAACAAAACGGUCCGAAAGUGGGAAAAAUUUGCGGCGGUGGCUAGAAAUUGAUGGAAACCUGCGGACUUUGAAUGUGAAAUAUGCAAAAGCUAUGGCGCGGAAGGGUUGUAGAAUAGGAAAAUAAUAUGGCACUGGACUUAUGGGACGAACACAAGAACACUCGAAACUAAGGGUAGAUGUGAACCUAACGGUAUACCUAAAGCUUUGAUUACCACUUGAUGAGAACAAGGAUGGCCCGAUCUUCCGAAAGGUUCUGGUAACUCUCGAUUUGGUGGAGACGAGACACAAAUCGAUACGGCUUCUGAACAACACAAUCUGAAACCCUUCAUUUUUUUAUUUUUUUGAUAUUUUUAUUUUACUUAGGAGCACUAAAGGAGUAACCACAUAAAAUUUGAGCUUAAACAAGUGAAAGACAUGGCCUGUGGAAUUUCUGAAGAUUGUGAAAAAUGUGAAAAGAACUUCACGUAUUGGAAACUCAAACUUCGGAGGCGAAUUUCAGGAUUCUAAAGUGGUCAAACCCGCGAAAGUUAGGGACAAACAGACCUGAAAUUUUUUUCUGAUCGAUUUUGAUAUAUGGAACGUUGAAAUCGGAGUUCGUAUGCAAAAGUUAUGGCUGUUUUACGAACAGACUCCGAAUUAGAGGACAAAACGGUCCGAAAGUGGGAAAAAUUUGCGGCGGUGGCUAGAAAUUGAUGGAAACGGUGGGGAAAACACAUGAACUGGACUCUAACAAGACCUAACCAGCAACAAGACCUCGACCAGGACACAAACUCAACACUGCGGACUCUGAAACUGAAAUAUGCAAAGGCUAUGGCGUGGAAGGGUUGUAGGAUGGAAAAACGAUAUGGCACUGGACUUAUGGGACGAACACAACACUCAAAACUAAGGGUAGAUGUGAACCUAAUGGUAUACCUGAAGCUUUGAUUACCACUUGAUGAGAACAAGGGUGGCCCGAUCUUCUGAAUGGUUCUGGUAACUCUCGAUUUGGUGAAGACGAGACACAAAUCGAUCUGGCUUCCGAACAACACGAUCCGAAAUCCCGCAUUUUUUUAUUUUUUUAAUAUUUUCCUUUUACUUAGGAGCACUAAAGAAGUAACCAUAGAAAAAUUGAGCUUAAACAAGUAAAAGACGUGGCCUGCGGAAUUUUGUGAAGAUUACAAAAAAUGUGAAAAAAACUUCACAAGGUGAAAACUCAAACUUCGAAGACGAAUUUGGAGAUUCUAAAAUUUUCAAACCCCCUAAAACCGAGGACACACAGACAGACACUAAAUUUUUUUCUG